rnacentral:rRNA from 1 species
GUCGUAACAAGGUUUCCGUAGGUGAACCUGCGGAAGGAUCAUUACAAGUGAGGCUACCGAACGUUGGAAACAGCGGUUAGGAGCUUACACCCACCCGUGUUUACAUACUAUUGUUGCUUUGGCGGGCCGUGGCCUCCACUGCGGGCUCUGCUCGUGUGUGCCCGCCAGAGAACCAAACUCUGAAUGUUAGUGAUGUCUGAGUACUAUCUAAUAGUUAAAACUUUCAACAACGGAUCUCUUGGUUCUGGCAUCGAUGAAGAACGCAGCGAAAUGCGAUAAGUAAUGUGAAUUGCAGAAUUCAGUGAAUCAUCGAAUCUUUGAACGCACAUUGCGCCCUGUGGUAUUCCGCAGGGCAUGCCUGUUCGAGCGUCAUUUAACCACUCACGCCUAGCGUGGUAUUGGGGCACGCGGUCUCCGCGGCCCUCAAAAUUAGUGGCGGCGCCGGUGGGCUCUAAGCGUAGUACAUACUCCCGCUAUAGAGUUCCCCCCGGUGGCUCGCCAGAACCCCCAAUUUUUUACAGGUUGACCUCGGAUCAGGUAGGGAUACCCGCUGAACUUAAGCAUAUCAAUAAGCGGAGGAAAAGAAACCAACAGGGAUUACCUCAGUAACGGCGAGUGAAGCGGUAACAGCUCAAAUUUGAAAGCUGCCAACAGGCCGCGUUGUAAUUUGUAGAAGCUGCUUUGGGUGUCAGCCCGGUCUAAGUUCCUUGGAACAGGACGUCAUAGAGGGUGAGAAUCCCGUAUGUGAUCGGUGCCGUUGCCCGUGUAAAGCGCUUUCGACGAGUCGAGUUGUUUGGGAAUGCAGCUCAAAAUGGGUGGUAAAUUUCAUCUAAAGCUAAAUAUUGGCCAGAGACCGAUAGCGCACAAGUAGAGUGAUCGAAAGAUGAAAAGCACUUUGGAAAGAGAGUUAAACAGUACGUGAAAUUGUUGAAAGGGAAGCGCUUGCAACCAGACUUGCGGGCGGUCGAUCAUCCGAGGUUCUCCCCGGUGCACUCGAUCGUUCUCAGGCCAGCAUCGGUUUCCGGGGUGGGAUAAAGGCGGUGGGAAUGUGGCUCUUCGGAGUGUUAUAGCCCACCGUGCAAUGCCGCCACUGGGGACCGAGGACCGCGCUUCGGCUAGGAUGCUGGCGUAAUGGUUGUAAGCGAC